GGGCUGGCGGGUGCUAUACAUGCAAGUCGAACGAACUCUGGUAUUGAUUGGUGCUUGCAUCAUGAUUUACAUUUGAGUGAGUGGCGAACUGGUGAGUAACACGUGGGAAACCUGCCCAGAAGCGGGGGAUAACACCUGGAAACAGAUGCUAAUACCGCAUAACAACUUGGACCGCAUGGUCCGAGCUUGAAAGAUGGCUUCGGCUAUCACUUUUGGAUGGUCCCGCGGCGUAUUAGCUAGAUGGUGGGGUAACGGCUCACCAUGGCAAUGAUACGUAGCCGACCUGAGAGGGUAAUCGGCCACAUUGGGACUGAGACACGGCCCAAACUCCUACGGGAGGCAGCAGUAGGGAAUCUUCCACAAUGGACGAAAGUCUGAUGGAGCAACGCCGCGUGAGUGAAGAAGGGUUUCGGCUCGUAAAACUCUGUUGUUAAAGAAGAACAUAUCUGAGAGUAACUGUUCAGGUAUUGACGGUAUUUAACCAGAAAGCCACGGCUAACUACGUGCCAGCAGCCGCGGUAAUACGUAGGUGGCAAGCGUUGUCCGGAUUUAUUGGGCGUAAAGCGAGCGCAGGCGGUUUUUUAAGUCUGAUGUGAAAGCCUUCGGCUCAACCGAAGAAGUGCAUCGGAAACUGGGAAACUUGAGUGCAGAAGAGGACAGUGGAACUCCAUGUGUAGCGGUGAAAUGCGUAGAUAUAUGGAAGAACACCAGUGGCGAAGGCGGCUGUCUGGUCUGUAACUGACGCUGAGGCUCGAAAGUAUGGGUAGCAAACAGGAUUAGAUACCCUGGUAGUCCAUACCGUAAACGAUGAAUGCUAAGUGUUGGAGGGUUUCCGCCCUUCAGUGCUGCAGCUAACGCAUUAAGCAUUCCGCCUGGGGAGUACGGCCGCAAGGCUGAAACUCAAAGGAAUUGACGGGGGCCCGCACAAGCGGUGGAGCAUGUGGUUUAAUUCGAAGCUACGCGAAGAACCUUACCAGGUCUUGACUACUAUGCAAUCUAGAAGAUAGACGUUCCUUCGGGAAUGGAUC
rnacentral:rRNA from 1 species